rnacentral:rRNA from 1 species
CUCGUUCCGGUUGAUCCUGCCGGACCCCACUGCUAUCGGGAUGGGACUAAGACAUGCUAGUCGUGCGUCUCUAAGCCAUGGUGGAGGCGCGGCGCACAGCUCAGUAACACGUGGCUAACCUACCCUUGGGACAGGGAUAACCCCGGGAAACUGGGGCUAAUCCCUGAUAGGUGAGUACUCCUGGAAUGGGUUCUCGCUGAAAGGGUGUCUAGACCAUGCUUCUAGGCUUCGCCCAAGGACGGGGCCGCGGCCGAUCAGGUUGUUGGUGAGGUAACGGCUCACCAUGCCUUUAACCGGUACGGGCCGUGAGAGCGGGAGCCCGGAGAUGGGCACUGAGACAAGGGCCCAGGCCCUACGGGGCGCAGCAGUCGCGAAAACUCCGCAAUACGCGAAAGCGUGACGGGGCUAUCCCGAGUGCCAUCCGCUGAGGAUGGCUUUUCCCAAGUGUAUAAAGCUGGGGGAAUAAGGAGAGGGCAAGACUGGUGUCAGCCGCCG